UACGUAGGGGGCGAGCGUUUGUCCGGAAUUAUUGGGCGUAAAGAGCGUGUAGGCGGUUCGGUAAGUCUGCCGUGAAAACCUGGGGCUCAACCCUGGGCGUGCGGUGGAUACUGCCGGGCUAGAGGGUGGUAGAGGCGAGUGGAAUUCCCGGUGUAGCGGUGAAAUGCGCAGAUAUCGGGAGGAACACCAGUAGCGAAGGCGGCUCGCUGGGCCAUUCCUGACGCUGAGACGCGAAAGCUAGGGGAGCGAACAGG
rnacentral:rRNA from 1 species